GUGUUAUGCUUUAUUGCUGUAGGGAGAGCAUGAAGCUCUUAAUCUCAGGGUUGUGGGUUCAAGCCCCACAAUGGGCA